rnacentral:lncRNA from 10 species
GAUCCUCAUUAUUCCCUCUUCGCUACCUCCUCUCUACAACCCCAUUCCAAAGCGACUGACCUUCAACAGAAUGUAUUUCUAUAAAGAUAAAAACAACGAAACUCCCAAGACGUCUAUAUUUGGAAUAUACAGGGAAAACUAGGUACCCUGUGGCCUAGCGAGAAGAUCGCAGAUGACAUGGGAGGCCUUCAUCUUCUGCAUCUGUCCGACCUUUUCAGCUCCUCUUCUGGUCACUCUGUCAAGGGGGCCUGGAACUCCUGAGAAGUGAAAGGACCAGCCCUAUCUCAGAUGGUGCGGGUUUCUUCGCCCUGACCUCUGCCAUGUUUGCUUGGAGCCCCAGAGCUCAUCCUUCAAGGCCUUUUUAAAAAUAGCACAGCCUCUGUCAAGCCUUCUUGAAAAAUUAAAUUUUUUAUUGUAAAAACUUUCAAACAUAUAAAGAAUGUGAAAGAAUAGGCAAUUAUCUGUAUACUCAUCACCCACAUUCAAUAAUUAACAUUUUGCCGUCUUAGCCUCAUCUACCUAUUUCUACUGAAUCAUAUGAAACUCACUUGCAGACAUUGUGAUAUAGAACACCAAAAUCCAUAAACAUGUGUCGCCU